AACGAACGCUGGCGGCGUGCCUAACACAUGCAAGUCGUGCGAGAAAGUUCCUUCGGGAGCGAGUAAAGCGGCGCACGGGUGAGUAACACGUAGGUAACCUGCCCCCCAGUCUGGAACAACUAGAGGAAACUCUAGCUAAUGCCGGAUGAGACCACGAUCCCUUCGGGGGUUGCGGCCAAAGAUGGCCUCUACUUGUAAGCUAUCGCUGAGGGAUGGGCCUGCGGGCCAUUAGCUUGUUGGUGAGGUAACGGCUCACCAAGGCUGUGAUGGCUAGCUGGUCUGAGAGGAUGACCAGCCACACUGGGACUGAGACACGGCCCAGACUCCUACGGGAGGCAGCAGUGGGGAAUAUUGCGCAAUGGG
rnacentral:rRNA from 1 species